rnacentral:rRNA from 1 species
AUUGAACGCUGGUGGCAGGCUUAACACAUGCAAGUCGAGCGGAGCGAGGGUGCUUGCACCUUAGCUUAGCGGCGGACGGGUGAGUAAUGCUUAGGAAUCUGCCUAUUAGUGGGGGACAACAUUCCGAAAGGGAUGCUAAUACCGUAUACGCCCUACGGGGGAAAGCAGGGGAUCUUCGGACCUUGCGCUAAUAGAUGAGCCUAAGUCGGAUUAGCUAGUUGGUGGGGUAAAGGCCUACCAAGGCGACGAUCUGUAGCGGGUCUGAGAGGAUGAUCCGCCACACUGGGACUGAGACACGGCCCAGACUCCUACGGGAGGCAGCAGUGGGGAAUAUUGGACAAUGGGCGGAAGCCUGAUCCAGCCAUGCCGCGUGUGUGAAGAAGGCCUUUUGGUUGUAAAGCACUUUAAGCGAGGAGGAGGCUCUUAAGGUUAAUACCCUUGAUGAGUGGACGUUACUCGCAGAAUAAGCACCGGCUAACUCUGUGCCAGCCGCCGCUGUAAAAC